CUGAGCUGCCCAAACACCCCUAUGUUGUGGUUGCUGUUGUUUUUUUAACUUGAGAGUCAACCUUUUCCUGCUAAAUGGUACUAUUCCUAAAUGUCUGUCACAGAGAAGAUAAUCCAACACAAUGCCAUUACACAGAUUUAUAGCUGACCUUUGAAAUAUGACGGACAGAUCGGAUUGUUGCAUUGCACAGCCUGGCUUUCUGUUAGAUCACUGUACUUUAAAAAAACUCGUCCCUGCAACAGAGGCUAAGUUCUUCCAUGAGCAGAGUGAGUACAAUGCGCCAGUCUGUAUUAAUCACUAGAGAGAGAGAAAGAGAGAGCACACAUAAGCGAGGCA